rnacentral:rRNA from 1 species
UACGUAGGGGGCAAGCGUUGUCCGGAAUCAUUGGGCGUAAAGAGCGUGUAGGCGGCCCGAUAAGUCCGCUGUGAAAGUCCAGGGCUCAACCCUGGGAUGCCGGUGGAUACUGUCGGGCUCGAGUCCGGAAGAGGAGUGUGGAAUUCCUGGUGUAGCGGUGAAAUGCGUAGAUAUCUGGAGGAACACCGGUGGCGAAGGCGGCAUCCUGGACCGGUAUUGACGCUGAGGCGCGAAAGCCAGGGGAGCAAACGGG